rnacentral:rRNA from 1 species
CAGCCGCCACGGUAAUACCAGCAGCCCAAGUGGUGGUCGCGUUUAUUGGGCCUAAAGCGCUCGUAGCCUGGCCGGUAAGUUCCCCGUGAAAUCGGGUCGCCCAACGAUUCGGCUUGCGGGGAAUACUGUCGGUCUUGGGGCCGGGAGACGCCGAGGGUACUCCGGGGGUAGCGGUGAAAUGCUGUAAUCCUCGGGGGACUACCAGUGGCGAAGGCGCUCGGCGAUAACGGGCCUGACGGUGAGGGGCGAAAGCUGGGGGCGCGAACGGGAUUAGAUACCCCGGUAGUCCCUGUCUUUAUAC